GACGAACGCUGGCGGCGUGCCUAAUACAUGCAAGUCGAACGCUGAAGAGAGGAGCUUGCUCUUCUUGGAUGAGUUGCGAACGGGUGAGUAACGCGUAGGUAACCUGCCUUGUAGCGGGGGAUAACUAUUGGAAACGAUAGCUAAUACCGCAUAACAAUGGAUGACACAUGUCAUUUAUUUGAAAGGGGCAAUUGCUCCACUACAAGAUGGACCUGCGUUGUAUUAGCUAGUAGGUGAGGUAAUGGCUCACCUAGGCGACGAUACAUAGCCGACCUGAGAGGGGGGACGGCCACACUGGGACUGAGACACGGCCCAGACUCCUACGGGAGGCAGCAGGAGGGGAUCCUCGGCAAUGGGGGCAACCCUGACCGGGCAACGCCGCGGGAGGGAAGAAGGGUUUCGGAUCGGAAAGAUCUGUUGUAAGUCAAGAACGGGAGGGGGAGUGGAAAGUUCACACUGUGACGGUAGCUUACCAGAAAGGGACGGCUAACUACGUG
rnacentral:rRNA from 1 species